CCAUUAACUAUUAAAAGUUUCGUUUUGGUCCCUUAACUUACUUUUUGGUUUCGUUUUGGUCCCUUAACUAUUAAAAGUUUCGUUUUGGCCCCUUAACUUAUUUUUUGGUUUCGUUUUGGUCCCUUAACUCUAAUACAGUCAUCUAACAUAAAGGACCAAAGUGGUUGACGGAGGAAGAGUUAAGGGACCAAAAUGAAACCAAAAAAUAAGUUAAGGGACCAAAACGAAACUUUUAAUAGUUAAGGGACCAAAAUGAAACCAAAAAGUAAGUUAAGGGACCAAAACGAAACUUUUAAUAGUUAAGGGA
rnacentral:pre_miRNA from 1 species